GACAGAGGGUGCAAACGUUGUUCGGAAUUACUGGGCGUAAAGCGAGUGUAGGCGGUCUCAUAAGUCAGGUGUGAAAGCCCUGGGCUCAACCCAGGAAGUGCACUUGAAACUGCGAGGCUAGAGUAUCGGAGAGGUUGGUGGAAUUCUCGGUGUAGAGGUGAAAUUCGUAGAGAUCGGGAGGAACACCUGUGGCGAAGGCGGCCGACUGGGCCGACCCUGACGCUGAGGCGCGAAGGCGUGGGGAGCGAACGGG
rnacentral:rRNA from 1 species